rnacentral:rRNA from 1 species
UACGUAGGUGGCAAGCGUUGUCCGGAUUUACUGGGUGUAAAGGGCGUGCAGCCGGAGAGACAAGUCAGAUGUGAAAUCCACGGGCUCAACUCGUGAACUACAUUUGAAACUGUUUCCCUUGAGUGUCGGAGAGGUAAUCGGAAUUCCUUGUGUAGCGGUGAAAUGCGUAGAUAUAAGGAAGAACACCAGUGGCGAAGGCGGAUUACUGGACGAUAACUGACGGUGAGGCGCGAAAGCGUGGGGAGCAAACAGG